rnacentral:rRNA from 1 species
ACGAACGCUGGCGGCGUGCCUAAUACAUGCAAGUCGAGCGGAAUGAUGAAGAAGCUUGCUUCUUCUGAUUUUAGCGGCGGACGGGUGAGUAACACGUGGGCAACCUACCUUGUAGAUUGGGAUAACUCCGGGAAACCGGGGCUAAUACCGAAUAAUCCAUUUUGCUUCAUGGCGAGAUGUUGAAAGACGGUUUCGGCUGUCACUACAAGAUGGGCCCGCGGCGCAUUAGCUAGUUGGUAGGGUAAUGGCCUACCAAGGCGACGAUGCGUAGCCGACCUGAGAGGGUGAUCGGCCACACUGGGACUGAGACACGGCCCAGACUCCUACGGGAGGCAGCAGUAGGGAAUCUUCCACAAUGGACGAAAGUCUGAUGGAGCAACGCCGCGUGAGUGAAGAAGGUUUUCGGAUCGUAAAACUCUGUUGUAAGAGAAGAACACGUACGAGAGUAACUGCUCGUACCUUGACGGUACCUUAUUAGAAAGCCACGGCUAACUACGUG